CCAUUUCUCGCCAUGGCCCCUGCACUGCUCCUGGUCCCUGCUGCCCUCGCCUCUUUCAUCCUGGCCUUUGGCACCGGAGUGGAGUUCGUGCGCUUUACCUCCCUUCGGCCACUUCUUGGAGGGAUCCCGGAGUCUGGUGGUCCGGAUGCCCGCCAGGGAUGGCUGGCUGCCCUGCAGGACCGCAGCAUCCUUGCCCCCCUGGCAUGGGAUCUGGGGCUCCUGCUUCUAUUUGUUGGGCAGCACAGCCUCAUGGCAGCUGAAAGAGUGAAGGCAUGGACAUCCCGGUACUUUGGGGUCCUUCAGAGGUCACUGUAUGUGGCCUGCACUGCCCUGGCCUUGCAGGUAUGAGGCCCUGGCCUUGCAGGUAUACUACCAUGUGCUGGGGCUGGGCGAGCCUCUGGCCCUGAAGUCUCCCCGGGCUCUCAGACUCUUCUCCCACCUGCGCCACCCAGUGUGUGUGGAGCUGCUGACAGUGCUGUGGGUGGUGCCUACCCUGGGCACGGACCGUCUCCUCCUUGCUUUCCUCCUUACCCUCUACCUGGGCCUGGCUCAUGGGCUUGAUCAGCAAGACCUCCGCUACCUCCGGGCCCAGCUACAAAGAAAACUCCACCUGCUCUCUCGGCCCCAGGAUGGGGAGGCAGAGUGAGGAGCUCACUCUGGUUACAAGCCCUAUUCUUCCUCUCCCCCUGAAUUCUAAAUCCUUAACAUCCAGGCCCUGGCUGCUUCAUGCCAGAGGCCCAAAUCCAUGGACUGAAGGAGCUGCCCCUUCUACUACUUGAGACUUUAUUCUCUGGGUCCAGCUCCAUACCCUAAAUUCUGAGUUUCAGCCACUGAACUCCAAGGUCCACUUCUCACCAGCAAGAAAGAGCGGGGUAUGGAAGUCAUCUGUCCCCUCACUGUUUAGGGCAUGACACUCUCCCCCUCAACAGCCUCCUGAGAAGGUAAGGAUCUGCCCUGACCACUCCCCUGGCACUGUUACUUGCCUCUGCACCUCAGGGGUCCCCUUCUCCACCGCUGGCUUCCACUCCAAGAAGCUGGACCAGGGUCUGCAAGUUCAACGGUCACAACUGUCCCUCUAGGCCCCAACCUUGCCUCACCACUCCCAGCCGUAGUCUCUGCACCUCAUUAGGCCCUGCCUCUGGGCUCAGACCCCAACCUAGUCAAGGGGAUUCUCCUACUCUUAACUCGAUGACUUGGGGCUCCCUGCUCUCCCGAGGAAGAUGCUCUGCAGGAAAAUAAAAGUCAGCCUUUUUCUACAUA
rnacentral:sRNA from 1 species